rnacentral:rRNA from 1 species
CAAUAGCGUAUAUUAAAGUUGUUGCAGUUAAAAAGCUCGUAGUUGGAUUUGUGGCUGUCACGGGCGGCCUAUCACUUAGUGUUAGUGCUUGCCUGUGUCGCCAUCCUUGGGUGGAGCCCGUGUGGCAUUAGGUUGUCGUGCGGGGGAUGCCCAUCGUUUACUGGGAGAAAAUUAGAGUGUUCAAAGCAGGCUUAUGCCGUUGAAUAUGUUAGCAUGGAAUAAUAAGAUAGGACCUCGGUACUAUUUUGUUGGUUUGCGCACCGAGGUAAUGAUUAAUAGGGACAGUUGGGGGUAUUCGUAUUUCAUUGUCAGAGGUGAAAUUCUUGGAUUUCUGAAAGACGAACUACUGCGAAAGCAUUUACCAAGGAUGUUUUCAUUAA